rnacentral:rRNA from 1 species
CAGCCGCCGCGGUAAUACGAAGGGGGCUAGCGUUGUUCGGAAUCACUGGGCGUAAAGCGCACGUAGGCGGACACUUAAGUCAGAGGUGAAAUCCCAAGGCUCAACCUUGGAACUGCCUUUGAUACUGGGUGUCUUGAGUUCGGGAGAGGUGAGUGGAACUGCGAGUGUAGAGGUGAAAUUCGUAGAUAUUCGCAAGAACACCAGUGGCGAAGGCGGCUCACUGGCCCGAUACUGACGCUGAGGUGCGAAAGCGUGGGGAGCAAACAGGAUUAGAUACCCCCGUAGUCCCUGUCUCUUAUAC